AUGGGCUAUGGGAUUCCAUGGAAUCUCUUAUGAGCUGGGUGGGUUAGUGGGCUGACUCAUGACACCUGUGUUCCCGUGUAGUCAUGGGCUAUGGGAUUCCAUGGAAUCUUGCAUUGACUUCAUAAGGAAGUUGUGUUUCCUGAAUUCCAAAGGGAAGAACGGGGAGAUAGAGGAACAACAGAAGAAGGUGGAGGCUGCCUUGUGAAAUCUAAAUAUAUAGAAGGGUGGGGAGGGAGAGACGUGGAUUUAAAAUUCAUUCUUUAUUUCACUCAGCAAUGAAUGUGUAAUGCAAUAGAAGCCAGUGUUGUGGGGCAGAGCUGUGGAGUUGCCCUCACAAGGCUGGAUGGAGGUGGGACAAGGCAGAAAUGAGAUCAGGGAGUGAGCACUCAGAAGCAGAGCAAAUUCAGCAUUCCCACCAAUGGGUCCACACCACCCAGCCCUAUCCCAUCCAGGUACUUUGCAGAGAUGAUUCCCCACUACACUGGUCACUCCUGGUGUUGUGUUGAAAACGAAGAAAAAAUGGGGCUAAUAUAAUGGGCCACCAGAUCAGGGGUGAGAAAGCUCCUUUGGUCCUCCAGUUGAUGUUCGACUCCCAACUCUCCUAAGUCCCAGCCAGCAAAGUCUAUGGUCAGGGACUAUGGGGGUUGAAGUGCAGACAGAUAUGGCGGGUCACUGGUUCCCCAUCCCUGCAGGAGAUCCAACUAGUCCACAAAACUGCAAUGCAGCCCAUCAGCAGGGCUUUGAGGGCCUCUUGACAAAAUGCAAUAAGCUGUUGUGGCCCAACAGGUCUGGCCAGUGUCCCAUGUGACUUGGGUGGGUCUUCUAUAAUAUGGCCCAGGAGCCUCUGCAAUGCGCAGGGUUCUAGGGCAAUGCGUAGACGUAUCAUGGCCUACUUGAGUCGCAAAUGGUACCCUGAAUGUAGAAGGUCAAAAAUAGCCCAAUCGAGGUUCAGAGCAAUCGGGCAUAGAUUUUGGUUGUCUUGGUGCACAGCCGUGCUGUGUGUGCUCAUAUUCAAUCUGCAUAAGAGCACAUGUGAGAUUGUUAUUGGUCGGUUGACAAUUGAGGACACUGUGUCAAUGACAUACUCAGACAUGGGAGUGUAGGGCUCAGGAGCUUUCUCAGUGCGGUCCAAAUGGGAAGUAGAUGGUUAGCCUAACUGGGGGUGCAGAUGCCUGGCUGGAAUGUUCUGGAACCAUAGCUGUCAAACCUUCCCUUUCUUAAGGGAAAUUCCCUUAUUCCGAAUAGGAUUCCUCGCAAGAAAAGGGAAAAGUUGACAACUAUGCCUGGAACUAUGACCUUGCCUCUUGUUUGUUCUGGGUGAAGCAUAGGGAGGGUUGUGUGGAUGUGUGAAGGAACUAGCCUGCCAUACAAAGGUCAUACAAAGGUCCAUUCCACUUCUGCAUCUGGUCUCACCCACCCAGUGACGGAGUAAGCUGCAUGAGUGCCCAGAGCGGCGGCCAUGCGGUGCACCCGGGGGGGCGAUCCACCAUGCGGGGGCAGGGCCAUCCACUGCGCAGGGGGCUGGGUGAUCCUCUGUGCGCAUGCGGCGGCGGUGGGAUCCUCCACUCACGGCUACAGCGGUGGCAGUGCGAUCCUCCGCUUGCAGCUGCAGCAGCACGAUGGCGGCGGCUUGCACCACCGCGCCCGGGGGCAGCGGUGCGAGCUCCCCACGGGGUGCCUUUUUGUCACCCCUCUCAGAGAUGGCACUCGGGUCAGACCGCCCGCCCCGCCCCCUUCCUUCGCCAGUGCACCCACUACUCACCCUUGGUCAAGGGCCAUAGCUGAGUGGUAGACCAUCUGCCUUUCAAGCAGAAGGUCACAGGUUCAAUCCCCAGCAUCUCCAGGUGGGGUUGGGGGACACACCUUGCCUGAAAAACUGGAGAGGCGCUGCCAGUCAGUGCAGACAAUACCAAGAAAGAUGGACCAAUGGUCUGAUUCAGUGUAAGGCAGAUCCCUAUGUUUCACCACUGGUAUGUGGCCCCUUAGGCUGAAAAAGCUUCCCCAACCUGGAUUAGGUUUUGUUUGCAACAGAUUGUCCCAGCAGGUUAUGGGAACCUUUUGUCUUUUUCUCAGGUGGGAGGGACGAAAAGGGAUCUGUGGUGCACCUGAAAGCCACGAAUCAAAGUUCCCAGUGAGGUGGCGAAGGAGGAACAUAGGGAAGGGCAGCUCCAAGGUGCUUUUCUCCCCGCCCCCCAAAGCGGGAAAUAAUCUGCCAGAGCACAAGGGUAAUGUACAUCUCCUUUUUGUUCUGGAAGGUAAAUCACAUAGAGUUGAAAGGGACCUCAAGGACCAUCUAGUCCACCCCCUGCAAUGGUGAAUGAGGUGAUGAUGAGGCUUUCAAGUUUUACUGCUGUUUGUGACGCUUCAGCACAGAGGAAGUCGGAGAGUAAGGGAAAUGACUGAGCAGGUGCUAGAUACUCUUCCUUUCCCCUUCUAAUGGCGUUCAUUAGUUCGGUACUACAAGUGUAAACAAUAGCACUCCUUUUUGCAAGGUUGUUUACAUUGCUGAUUAAAGGCUAAACGUUGCAUUUCAGCUGGCUGAAGAUAUUUUCCUAAAGCUCGGUGUGUUUUACAAGUUCAGGCUUUGCUAUUCGAAGGAAGCACCGCUGCAUUCAUCGGUGCCUACUCCCAGGUAACUAUGCACAAGACUGUAGUCAUGUUGCAAAAAAUAAUAAACCCAUAAUUUAAAAAAAAAUAUUUAUUAAAUUUAUACACUGCCCUUCCUCUGAGCGUCACAGAGCAGUUUACAAUGCCAUAGUAACAAAAAACAACAACAGAUCGUAUUGUCCUUUCUAGCUAGGAACCACAUUAGGGUUCUAGCAAGUGUCACUAUAAUCUCCUCUACGUUAAAACGAACUACUAUAUCCCCGCUGGUUUCAAAUGGCCACAUUUCCAAAUAUAUAUAUUUUAAAAACCUCUAUAUUAAGUAAUGCAUGUGAGAGAUUUAGAACAUCCUGCAGCAAAGCUCAUGUCUUGUGGCUGGAUUACGCAGGGUUGUGUACCAUUUGAUAACUCUCAAGUUUGAAAGAAUUGGCUCUCUGGAGGAGGCAGUAGGGAGGUCAGCGUGGUGCAAACACCCCAGCAGGAGAUUGGCUCCGCCGCUGCUUUGCACCAUGCUGACCUCCCCACCACCUCACCCCUCUCCCUCCCAGUAAGCAAUAGCAACCCACCUGGUGGCUCCACCCUAUCCAGGGAGCAGCUUCUGGCAGUUCUGAAUGUGCAAAUGGGCUUAACUGGAAGAGCACUGUACAUGUGUGUCCUCACACACAUGAUGAUAGGGGUGAUGAUAGGGACGUUUUCUCUGUAGCAUUCAAUGAUGCUCGUUCAUACACUGAAUGAAUGCUGCAGUCAAAGAGCAAUGGGUGCACAUCUAUGAACCAGUCCUCAGAAACUAAUUAUCUAAUCCAAGACUCCAUGUAUGCUUCACUGCACACACAGAGGUCCUACAAAAUCUCUGCUUCCUUUUGCAUGCUCUGAGCUGAGCCCUCAGUUGAAAUUUCCUAUGUCCAGCAGGGCUGCGGGAGGCAAUCAUGUAGAAUAAGACUGGGUUAUUUAUUGUUACCAGGAAGUUUAAUAGAAUCAUAGAAUUUUAAAGUUGGAAGGGAUCGUCUAGUCCAGGGUUUCCCAAACUUGGGUCUCUAGCUGUAUUUGGACUACAAUUCCCAUCAUCCCUGAGCACCCCUGACCCUGCUAGCUAGGGGUGAUGGGAGCUGUGGUCCAAAAACAGCUAGAGAUCCAAGUUUGAUAAACCCUGAUAUAGUCCAACCUCCUGCGGUGCAGAAAUGUCCCACACAGAGAAUCGAACCUGCAGCCUUGUUGUUAACAGCACCACUCUCUAACCAAUUGAGCUGUCCAAGCAAAUCGGAGUCCUUUUUUCUAUAACACACACACACACCACUGCAUUGGGAGUGUAUUUAUGCGAUUAGCUAAGAUUAAGCAAUUUGCAAACUGGCUCAGAAAUUCUAAUGUCAAAUGUCAACAUUUCAAAUGUAGAAUUUCUGGAACGUGGCUUAUUUUUGUUAAGAUUGUAAAUGCAAAUACAAGUAUAUACAGGGGCAGCAGGGGACAUUGAAGAGCUGUGUCACUCAUGCACUCAUUGUUAGGAAGGUCUCAGAUUUUGAUACAAACUGCAGGUUCAGAAUUCGCUAAGAAACACAGGAGGUUAGUGAAUGAGCUCUGAAAGAGGAAUUUUAGAAUGGGGAUGUUGCUGCGGCUGUCUUUCCUGAGUUGUGAAUUCUUAAUCGAUAGAACGUGUUUGAGUUUCACAUUUUCUUAGUGGCUCUUAAGGGAAAAGGCCCUUUUCACAGCAUGUGGAAAUACUUUGUGAAAGUCCCCUUUCCGAAAAACCUGUCAAGUAAACAGUGAUGGGGGGUGUAUUCAGUUUCAUCUGCACUUUAACAUGAAACUCCAUACUUCUCACUUCCCAAAACAAGUUGCGUGUCGAGGUCCCCAGGGCCACCCCAAUAACUCACACAUCACACAGAAUUUUUUGUUUAAGAUUUUUGGCAUAAUUUUGGCCACAGCUUUAUUGAAAUACAAAUUUGUGAGUGGUUGCUUAGGCAUUGGUUGCGACUAUCUGCCCCCACCAUGGGGGACAGACUGACAUUCCGCACGAUGCGAAAGUCAGAAUAGGGGAAUACACUUGGGGGUAACGCGGAGCAGGGAACCUGCCCUCACCCCAAAUGCAACCAGGAGCUCAUUGCUAUGGCCCGAGCCCCCUUGACAGAGUGGACAAGCAAUAAUUAGCCCCCAAUUCCUUUAACGGAAUCCCUUGCAGCAGCCGCAUUAGAGGGGCAGGCACUCAACCUACCAAGGGCAGGCACUCAACCACUUCCCCUCAACCAACCAAACCAUAAACCAAUGCCUAACCGCAACCUUACAAGUUGUGACGAUUUGCUACGCAGUAGGCAAAAACCAAAUGGCCCCAGCCAAUCAGCCAGAUGGACAAAAUUCCUACCAGGGCCCUGCCCCAAGAGCAGACGGCCCCAUGACAGGCAUAGCAAGGUCAAAGCGAACAACCCUAAUUCUAGGGAGGGGGGGGACAGGCAAUCCGAUGCACGGUCGAAAAGAGGAAGCCCUAGCCUCGUGCAAGGAGUUUUAGCAUUUCUGGCUGUCAAUCAACAAAUGGCAACAUUAACUUCUUCCCAAAAACAAGGGAAGCCCCAAUCGCAUCAGUGGCCAACGAACAAUUAGCCUGCCCCCAACUUUGGAGUGUCCUGGCGGCCCCCACCGCAACACGUGCUCUCCAUGAAGGAGAACACGCUGUGUGAAACAAAAUGCAAUGAUCCAUUGAAAGUCUUCCUUUUCCAAAUUUUGCCGUGUAGUUUUCAGUUCAUAAUAUAUACAAAUAUGUGUACAUUAGGGGAAAGUGUACAUCAGUAAAGAUAACGUGCACAAAUGCAUUAAGGAAACUUAUUUAAUAAUAAUAAUAAUAAAAGGUAUAACCAGAGAAAUUUGCACUAAAAUCCUGAUAGAUUUUUCAUGAGAAGAUUUUUUUAUAAAAAUCAUCAUCAUCAUCAAAACAGAUUAAAAAUUGUGGGGGAAUUUAAGACUGGGAAAAUGAGAAGUGGAAAAUGAAGAAUUUGUCCGUCACUACAGGUAAACUAGAACAAUCCACUUCUGCUCCUUCAGCCAACAAUUUUGCCUAAGGGUAUAGAUAUUGGAGAGAGAGAGAGAGAGGGACAGCAGCCUGGUUUUCCCUCUGUGUUUGAGGCUGAAGAAGGAAAGGGAGGAAAUGGUUGAAACAUGUCAAAGGAUGUGGAAAGAAAGUAGUCAGAAAGAAGGGUUCAUUGAGCAUCCAGGUGAGCUAAAGAUUGGCCAAGCUGUAUUUCUCUCGGAAAUGGUGUGUGCGUGUGUAUGUGUGGCAAUGGGGAGUUCAGUUUGCUGGUCCACAUGACCGACAGUUUGGCAGGGGACGAACCCAGGAUGAUCAGGGAAGGAAAAGGUGAAGAGGUCCCUCAGUUUCCCUAGUGUGCUAGAGCAUCCAACCGACAGCACGGGGCAAUUAUCACGGGGCAAUUCUCUCCAAACGCGCCCUAGAAGCUCCUGGUUCUAUUGGAAAUUUCCUGAUUCACAACCCAGGACUUUCCCCCCAGCAGCUGAAAUCCCCUGGGGAGGGAACCCUCCAGGCAUCUGACCAGCUGCGAUAGAGUUAUGCC